GACGCUGCACAAAAUUCCUGGAGUGGUAGAGCAUCUGCUUUGCAUGCAGAAGAUCCUGGGUUCAAACGCCGGCUUUGUCA